GACGGAUGGGGCAAGCGUUAUUGGUCUUUACUGGGUGUAAAGGGUACGUAGAUAGUUUUAAGUAGGUCAAAUUUGCGAAAUACUAGGGUAUAACUUUUUUAUGUCGUAAAUUUUUGUUAAAACUUGAGAAAAGAAAAGGUAAUUAGAAUUGUUGGUGUAGGGGUAAAAUCCGCUGACUCCAAUAGGAAUACCAAAUGUGAAGACAUUUUGCUUUUAAUUUUCUGACAUUAAGGUACGAAAGCAUGGGGAGCAAACAGG
rnacentral:rRNA from 1 species